rnacentral:rRNA from 1 species
CCCUUAGAUGUUCUGGGCGGCCCGCGCACUACAUUGGCACUAGCAAAGAGAUCCUAGAUUGAAUUCUUUGGGGUAUUCUUCUAAAUGGUGUCGUGACUGGGAUAAAUCCUUGUAAUUAUUGGUUUUGAACGAGGAAUUCCUUGUAAUCGCGGUUUAUCAGCUCGCGUUGAAUGCGUCCCUGCCCUUUGUACACACCGCCCGUCGCUCCUACCGAUGGAUCGUCUGGUGAAGCUCACGGAGUGACUGUUCACGCAACGGUUUACGAAGUGAAAUGGACCUCACGAUUUAGAGGAAGGAGAAGUCGUAACA